AGUCUGAUGGAGCAACGCCGCGUGAGUGAAGAAGGCUUUCGGGUCGUAAAACUCUGUUGUUGGAGAAGAAUGGUCGGCAGAGUAACUGUUGUCGGCGUGACGGUAUCCAACCAGAAAGCCACGGCUAACUACGUGCCAGCAGCCGCGGUAAUACGUAGGUGGCAAGCGUUAUCCGGAUUUAUUGGGCGUAAAGCGAGCGCAGGCGGUUUUUUAAGUCUGAUGUGAAAGCCCUCGGCUUAACCGAGGAAGUGCAUCGGAAACUGGGAAACUUGAGUGCAGAAGAGGACAGUGGAACUCCAUGUGUAGCGGUGAAAUGCGUAGAUAUAUGGAAGAACACCAGUGGCGAAGGCGGCUGUCUGGUCUGUAACUGACGCUGAGGCUCGAAAGCAUGGGUAGCGAACAGGAUUAGAUACCCUGGUAGUCCAUGCCGUAAACGAUGAAUGCUAGGUGUUGGAGGGUUUCCGCCCUUCAGUGCCGCAGCUAACGCAUUAAGCAUUCCGCCUGGGGAGUACGACCGCAAGGUUGAAACUCAAAGGAAUUGACGGGGGCCCGCACAAGCGGUGGAGCAUGUGGUUUAAUUCGAAGCAACGCGAAGAACCUUACCAGGUCUUGA
rnacentral:rRNA from 2 species